AUCCAGCUGACAAGUACCAAGUAGGACGAAACGCGCGUCAAACUGGAU
rfam:Schistosoma curassoni strain Dakar, Senegal genome assembly, scaffold: SCTD_contig0001123